GUGAUCCUAGGGGGGCAGCAGUGAGGAAUAUUGGUCAAUGGGCGAGAGCCUGAACCAGCCAAGUCGCGUGAGGGAAGACGGUCCUAUGGAUUGUAAACCUCUUUUGUCGGGGAGCAAAAAGACUACGUGUAGUCCCAAGCGAGAGUACCCGAAGAAAAAGCAUCGGCUAACUCCGUGCCAGCAGCCGCGGUAAUACGGAGGAUGCGAGCGUUAUCCGGAUUUAUUGGGUUUAAAGGGUGCGUAGGCUGAAUGUCAAGUCAGCGGUAAAAAUUCAGGGCUCAACCCGGUCGUGCGGUUGAAACUGG
rnacentral:rRNA from 1 species